rnacentral:rRNA from 1 species
UACGAAGGUCCCAAGCGUUAUCCGGAUUUAUUGGGUUUAAAGGGUGCGUAGGCGGCUUAUUAAGUCAGUGGUGAAAGCCCCAAGCUUAACCUGGGAACUGCGUUUGAAACUGGGAGACUUGAGUGUGGCAGAGGGGGGUGGAAUUCCACGUGUAGCAGUGAAAUGCGUAGAUAUGUGGAGGAACACCGAUGGCGAAGGCAGCCCCCUGGGUUAACACUGACGCUCAUGCACGAAAGCGUGGGGAGCAAACAGG